rnacentral:rRNA from 1 species
GACGAACGCUGGCGGCGUGCUUAACACAUGCAAGUCGAACGGAAAGGCCCUGCUUUUGUGGGGUGCUCGAGUGGCGAACGGGUGAGUAACACGUGAGUAACCUGCCCUUGACUUUGGGAUAACUUCAGGAAACUGGGGCUAAUACCGGAUAGGAGCUCCUGCUGCAUGGUGGGGGUUGGAAAGUUUCGGCGGUUGGGGAUGGCCUCGCGGCUUAUCAGCGUGUUGGUGGGGUAGUGGCUUACCAAGGCUUUGACGGGUAGCCGGUCUGAGAGGGUGACCGGCCACAUUGGGACUGAGAUACGGCCCAGACUACAACGGGGGGCAGCAGUGGGGAAUAUUGCACAAUGGGCGGAAGCCUGAUGCAGCAACGCCGCGUGCGGGAUGACGGCCUUCGGGUUGUAAACCGCUUUCGCCUGUGACGAAGCGUGAGUGACGGUAAUGGGUAAAGAAGCACCGGCUAACUACGUG